GACGAACGCUGGCGGCGUGCUUAACACAUGCAAGUCGAACGGAAAGGCCCUGCUUUUGUGGGGUGCUCGAGUGGCGAACGGGUGAGUAACACGUGAGUAACCUGCCCUUGACUUUGGGAUAACUUCAGGAAACUGGGGCUAAUACCGGAUCGGAGCUCCUGCUGCAUGGUGGGGGUUGGAAAGUUUCGGCGGGUGGGGAUGGACUCGCGGCUUAUCAGCUUGUUGGUGGGGUAGUGGCUUACCAAGGCUUUGACGGGUAGCCGGCCUGAGAGGGUGACCGGCCACAUUGGGACUGAGAUACGGCGCAGACUGCUACGGGAGGCAGCAGUGGGGAAUAUGGCACAAUGGGCGGAAGCCGGAUGCAGCAACGCCGCGGGCGGGAUGACGGCCUUCGGGUUGUAAACCGCUUUCGCCUGUGACGAAGCGUGAGUGACGGUAAUGGGUAAAGAAGCACCGGCUAACUACGUG
rnacentral:rRNA from 1 species